CUGGCGAGUUAGAGGAAUAGCUGCCCUGCUCUGUGCUCAGCUGGGGAUUUCCAGAAGGAUGAGAGCUUUCCUUCCUGUCUCUCUGAUGAGUCCACCCGCCAGGACUUUGACAUGUGGAAGGCAGCUCAGCCUAUCUUGGUCAUACUGUGCUAUGAAAAAGUGUGGAAGACUCUUUGGCUGUACCUGUUGAAGGGGCUGACAGCCCUUCUCUGGGAAGUGGUUUGAUUGCACCAAAGUUAAAACUUCCCUGGCAUGUCUUUUGUCCUCACUCAGGAGACUCAGGUGUGCACAUAGUCAUGGUGUUGCUUUAGAUGCAGACUCUUACAACCAUUUAUUAAAGAAUAAAACACUCCUACAAGCAUGAAGUUAUUACAGCCUCAAUCCAGAACAAUAAUUCAUCCUCCAAGAAAAAUAAGCUAAAUAUAUAAUUAAACUUCCCAAUGUGUUCCCCAGCAUGCCAAUACCUAGAUCAUUUGUUGUUCUUCAUAAUUUGGUGAUGACUCCAUGACACAUUAUGUGUAUGAAUUACAUACUCCAUACAAUCUGUGUGUAUGAAUUGCGAAACACUGUAUGACGAUGAACAGGUGUAUGAGGAACCUGACAAGAAUCAGCCCUAUGCACAGUCUUCAAUACUUUCUCAGUGAUAAUUUCAUUUUGAGGCACAUCAAUAAGUUGAUUUUUAAUCCCUUUAUUACAAUCCCCAUAAAUUUUAUAAUUCAAGUGUUUUAAAUCAAAUUGUCAUGGAGGAUGCCUUGCAGAUGUCAACAAUUGUAUGAAUACAGUUACCUGUCAACCAGACUCACAGUCAUAUCAAACAAGAUUGUUGCCUUUCUUUGAUGACCUGAAUUCCAUGAAAAUGUAAGUUACAUGCACUUUCACAAUU